rnacentral:rRNA from 1 species
GACGCUGGCGGCGCGCCUAAUGCAUGCAAGUCGAGCGGUUCUUUGGGGGCAACUUCAAAGGAUAGCGGCGAACUGCUGAGUAACCCGUAGGCAACCUACCCUUCGGUGGGGGACAACCUGGGGAAACCCGGGCUAAUACCGCAUGAGAUGUUCUGGCAUAAGCUAGAACCUUAAAGCCGUAAGGCGCCGGAGGAGGGGCYUGCGUCCUAUCAGGUAGUUGGCGGGGUAACGGCCCACCAAGCCGAUGACGGGUAGCUGGUCUGAGAGGACGGCCAGCCAGAGGGGGACUGAGACACGGCCCCCACUCCUACGGGAGGCAGCAGCAGGGGAUCUUGCGCAAUGGGCGAAAGCCUGACGCAGCGACGCCGCGUGGGGGAAGAAGGCCCUCGGGUCGUAAACCCCUUUUGCCGGGGAAGAGGAAGGACGGUACCCGGCGAAUAAGCUCCGGCUAACUACGUGCCAGCAGCCGCGGUAAUACGUAGGGAGCGAGCGUUACCCGGAAUCACUGGGCGUAAAGGGCGUGUAGGCGGCUGAGGAAGUCCUUCGUGAAAUCUCCGGGCUCAACCCGGAGGGGUCGAAGGAUACUUCUCGGCUUGAGGACAGCAGAGGAGGGGUGGAAUUCCCGGGUGUAGCGGUGAUAUGCGUAGAUAUCGGGAGGAACACCAGUGGCGAAGGCGACCCUCUGGGCUGUUUCUGACGCUGAGACGCGAAAGCGUGGGGAGCGAACCGGAUUAGAUACCCGGGUAGUCCACGCCCUAAACGAUGGACGCUAGGUAUGGGGGGUAUCGACCCCCCUCCGUGCCGAAGCUAACGCAUUAAGCGUCCCGCCUGGGGAGUACGGCCGCAAGG